rnacentral:rRNA from 1 species
AUGAUUAGAUACAUGAUCAAGAUUAUGCCAGGUAGAAUUCCACAUCAAAAAUUAUCUUUUUUUAUCAUUUACCUACUCGAGGACGAGCAGGAAUUAGGCUUGGGGAUGCUGAUAUGUCUCCGUCGUAUCUAUAAUUUUUUAUUGUUCCAUGCCAAUAUUCUACAACUUUCAUAUACUUUUGGCAAAUUUUAUACUAUUUUUGGGACUAACAUAUUGAUCCAGUGCCCAGUGCCAGUUCCUGUUUGUUGCAUGUUUUUUGUUUCGCAGAAAACCCAUAUCAAACGGAGUCCAAACGGAAUAAAAAUGGACGGAGAUUUUUUUGGAAUAUUUAUGCAUUUUGGGAAGAAUAAUCAACGCGAGACGAUGCCCGAGGGGGCCACGAGGCAGGGGGCGCGCCCUGGGCCCUCGUGGACACCCCGUAAGGCGGUUGGUUCCCUUCUUUCGCCGCAAGAAAGCCAAUAUAUGGAUAGAAAUCGUGUCCAAAGGACAACCCAAUCAGAGUUACGGAUCUCUGGGAAUUUAAGAAACAGUUAA